CCUACGGGAGGCAGCAGUGGGGAAUAUUGGACAAUGGGCGAAAGCCUGAUCCAGCCAUGCCGCGUGUGUGAAGAAGGCCUUCGGGUUGUAAAGCACUUUCAGUGGGGAAGAAAGCCUUGGGGCUAAUACCCUCGAGGAAGGACAUCACCCACAGAAGAAGCACCGGCUAACUCCGUGCCAGCAGCCGCGGUAAUACGGAGGGUGCGAGCGUUAAUCGGAAUUACUGGGCGUAAAGCGCGCGCAGGCGGUCUGAUAAGCCGGUUGUGAAAGCCCCGGGCUCAACCUGGGAACGGCAUCCGGAACUGGCAGGCUAGAGUGCAGGAGAGGGAGGUAGAAUUCCCGGUGUAGCGGUGAAAUGCGUAGAGAUCGGGAGGAAUACCAGUGGCGAAGGCGGCCUUCUGGACUGACACUGACGCUGAGGUGCGAAAGCGUGGGUAGCAAACAGGAUUAGAUACCCGAGUAGUC
rnacentral:rRNA from 1 species